UACGUAGGUGGCAAGCGUUGUCCGGAUUUACUGGGCGUAAAGAGCGCGCAGGCGGUCGUUCAAGUCGCGUGUGAAAGCCCCCGGCUCAACUGGGGAGGGUCGUGCGAUACGGCGGGGCUCGAGGCCGGUAGGGGGACGCGGAAUUCCCGGUGUAGUGGUGAAAUGCGUAGAGAUCGGCAGGAACACCCAGGGGGAAACCAGCCGACUGGGCAUCUGCUGACGCUGAGGUGCGAGAGCGUGGGGAGCGAACCGG
rnacentral:rRNA from 1 species